AUGAAUCUUGUCAUCUACAAGCAUCACAAUUUUAUCCUUUGCUUUGUGCUGAGUCUCAAGGACCAAACCUAUACGACGGAUUCCAGAAAGCCCUUCUUGGAAAUUGAUGUCAAAGGGGGAGAAAGAGAUCACAUCAAAGCUCAAGGGGGAGAGAAAGUCUCAAGGAUCCCAGAUAUUGUUAAGGGACUCAAGGGGGAGAGAAAGUCUCAAGGAUCCCAGAUGUUGUUAAGGGGGAGAGAGAGAGAUUUCCCAGAUGUUAUAAGGGGGAGAGAGAGAUUUCCAGGGAGAGAAAAUACUCAAGGAUCCCAGAUGCUUGAUGUUUCAAGAGGCGAGAUGUCACAUGUCUUUUUGGGGGAAAGACAUGUUCAUAUACGCUUAUUUGCAUUAAGUUCUAUCCAGUUGUAUCUUUCAGCUCUGAUUUUCUGUUUCCUAUCUUCUCCCAAUAUCCCAUGUAAGAUUCAGGGGGAGCAAGACACCUAA
rnacentral:rRNA from 1 species